CGAGGAGUUUGAUAUCUUUUAGAUGUCUACCUUCCACCCUUAUGUUAUAUGAAAAUCAUAUUGCUUCGGCAGACCGUUUCUUUACUGAGACCAUCGGCUUGUUUAUCAAGUGGAUGUGUUGUCUGCCGAAACUUUUAACUCUUGAACUUAUGAUGUCUGAGUUUUUUAUACAAAAAAUAA
rnacentral:misc_RNA from 1 species